rnacentral:rRNA from 1 species
CUACGGGAGGCUCCAGGCACGGAACCUUUACAAUGCACGAAAGUGUGAUAGGGGAAUUCCAAGUGCUCUAUCAAUGAUAGGGCUUUUGUUAAGUGUAAGGAGCUUGAUGAAUAAGUGGUGGGCAAGAGCCGGUGCCAGCCGCCGCGGUAACACCGGCGCCACGAGUGGUGAUCAUGUUUAUUGGGUCUAAAGCGUCCGUAGCCGGUUAAGUAAAUUCUUUGUGAAAUCGUUGAGCUUAACUUAACGACGUGCAAGGAAGACUGUUUAACUUGAGACCGGGAGGAGACAGAGGUAUUCCAAGGGGAGCGGUAAAAUGCAAUAAUCCUUGGAAGACCACCAGUGGCGAAGGCUUCUGUCUAGAACGGGUCUGACGGUGAGGGACGAAGGCUAGGGGAGCAAAACGGAUUAGAUACCCUGGUAGUC